rnacentral:rRNA from 1 species
UGGAUUAGGCAUGCAAGUCGAGCGAGAACCCGCAAGGGGGACAGCGGCGAACGGGGUAGGACAAUCUAGGUAACGUACCCUCGGGGCGAGGACAGCCACGGGAAACUGUGGGUAAUACUCGAUAAACUUCCCAAUCAUUAUCGGAGGGGAAGCAAUGGGUGUGAUUCCACCUGAGGAGCGGCUUAGACAGUAUCAGCUUGUUGGUGAGGUAACGGCUCACCAAGGCUACGACGCUUAGGGGGUGUGAGAGCAUGGCCCCCACCACUGGCACUGAGACACUGGCCAGACACCUACGGGUGGCUGCAGUCGAGAAUCUUCGGCAAUGGACGCAAGUCUGACCGAGCGACGCCGCGUGCGGGAUGAAGGUCUUCGGAUUGUAAACCGC